rnacentral:rRNA from 1 species
UACGGGGGGGGGCAAGCGUUGUUCGGAAUUACUGGGCGUAAAGGGCUCGUAGGUGGCCAACUAAGUCAGACGUGAAAUCCCUCAGCUUAACUGGGGAACUGCGUCUGAUACUGGAUGGCUUGAGUUUGGGAGAGGGAUGCGGAAUUCCAGGUGUAGCGGUGAAAUGCGUAGAUAUCUGGAGGAACACCGGUGGCGAAGGCAGCAUCCUGGACCAACACUGACACUGAUGAGCGAAAGCCAGGGGAGCAAACAGGAUUA